rnacentral:rRNA from 1 species
CUGCGAGUGAAGAGGGAAGAGCUCAUCAUUGGAAUCUGGCAGUGUUGCACUGUCCGAGUUGUAGAUGAGGAGUAGUCCGUCUGGACUGCAUGGCGUCCAAGUACAAUAGGCCGUCAGUGGGACAUCAUAGAGGGUGACAAUCCCGUCCUUGACGCCAAUGUGCAAGUCUAUUACGAUGGCUAUCUCAGAGAGUCGAGCAGUUUGGGAUUUGCUGCUUAAACAUGGGAGGUAGAUUCCUUCUAAAGCUAAAUACAGGCGAGAGACCGAUAGAGAACAAGUACCGCAAGGGAAAGAUGAAAUAGCACUCUGUGAAGGGAGUCAAAAGGCGUGAAAUUGUUGCGAGAGAAGCGAUUCAAGUCAGCGUAGCUAGGCCCAUCAAGCGUCUUCGCUUUGGACUAGCUUUGCCAGCGGUCUUGUCCCUUGAAGAGACUUGACUUGUAAUAUGUCCAGCCUGGCGUGCACAGGCAGCCCCUUCUGGGGGCCAGUGGCAUGGCUGGUGGAAUGGCUUGCAAUCGACCCGUCUUGAAACACGGACCAAGGAGUCUAACAUGUAUGCGAGUAUAAGGGUGGCAAACCCGUAUGCGCAAUGAAAGUGAUUUUCGGUGAUUGAGAAUGGCCUGAUGACCAGACAAGCAAUAUAUGUCCCUCGUACGGCCAUUGCCCAAGUUCCGUGGUAGAUCCCACGAACAUGGAGUUGGAGCAUACAUGCUAGGACCCGAAAGAUGGUGAACUAUGCCUGGACAAAGCGAAGCCAAAGGAAACUCUGGUGGAGGCUUGUAGCGAUUCUGACGUGCAAAUCGAUCGUCUGAUCUGGGUAUAGGGGCGAAAGACUAAUCGAACCAUCUCAUAGCU